CCUAAAAUCUAAGUUUAAGACUAAACCCUAAGAUGAAAACCCUAAUCCUACAUUAAGCCCCUAAGAUAAAUAAUCCAAACCCUAGGUUAUAAUCUCAACCAUGAAUAGUUCGUAAAACUCGAUCUAACCAUGUAAUUUCCUAAUUCAUGAUAGGACUCGAUUAUAAGGGACCACAUGUCCCCUAGCCAUGCUGGUAGGCGAUCCAACUGUAAGGUAAUACAGGUGACUUUAGUGAUAUGUAUGUUCAGACUUGAUGAGGAGCAGGGUACGAUCGCCAGGAAUGCAUGACUGUAUUUACCUGGAGGAGCUGCGUGAUCUUGCUGUUGACAUUUAUAUGCUUUCCGUCAUUCUUCAUGUAUUAAAUUCUUGUAAAUCUUGUACUUGUUAAAUUUAGAGACAUUAGUUUGUAUAAGUCAUUAUGGGCAGCUUCUUGUAAAUUUGAAUGAUAAUGAAAUUUUCCUUUAUGUC